UUCCGGUUGAUCCUGCCGGACCUGACUGCUAUCGGAUUGAUACUAAGCCAUGCGAGUCAUUGUAGCAAUAUAAGGCAGACGGCUCAGUAACGCGUAGUCUUCCGUACCCUAUGGACGGGAAUAACCUCGGGAAACUGAGUAUAAAGCCCGAUAGAACACUAUACCUGGAAUGGUUUGUGUUCCAAAUGAUUUAUCGCCGUAGGAUGGGACUGCGGCCUAUCAGUUUGUUGGUGAGGUAAUGGCCCACCAAGACUAUUACAGGUACGGGCUCUGAGAGGAGUGGCCCGGAGAUGGGUACUGAGACACGGACCCAGGCCCUAUGGGGCGCAGCAGGCGAGAAAACUUUGCAAUGUGCGAAAGCACGACAAGGUUAAUCCGAGUGGUUUGUGCUAAGCGAACCUUUUGUCAGUCCUAGAAACACUAACAAAUAAGGGGUGGGCAAGUUCUGGUGUCAGCCGCCGCGAUAAAACCAGCACCUC
rnacentral:rRNA from 1 species